GACGAACGCUGGCAGCGUGCUUAACACAUGCAAGUCGAACGAAGAGCGAUGGAAGCUUGCUUCUAUCAAUCUUAGUGGCGCACGGGUGAGUAACGCGUAAUCAACCUGCCCUUCAGAGGGGGACAACAGUUGGAAACGACUGCUAAUACCGCAUACGAUCUAAUCUCGGCAUCGAGGAUAGAUGAAAGGUGGCCUCUACAUGUAAGCUAUCACUGAAGGAGGGGAUUGCGUCUGAUUAGCUAGUUGGAGGGGUAACGGCCCACCAAGGCGAUGAUCAGUAGCCGGUCUGAGAGGAUGAACGGCCACAUUGGGACUGAGACACGGCCCAGACUCCUACGGGAGGCAGCAGUGGGGAAUCUUCCGCAAUGGACGAAAGUCUGACGGAGCAACGCCGCGUGAGCGAUGACGGCCUUCGGGUUGUAAAGCUCUGUUAAUCGGGACGAAAGGCCUUCUUGCGAAUAGUGAGAAGGAUUGACGGUACCGGAGUAGAAAGCCACGGCUAACUACGUG
rnacentral:rRNA from 1 species